rnacentral:rRNA from 1 species
GUCCACGCCGUAACUUGGCACUAGGUGUUGCGGUAUUGACCCUGCAGUGCCGAAGCUAACGCAUUAAGUGCCCGCCUGGGAGUACGGUCGCAAGACUAAACUCAAGGAAUUGACGGGCCCGCACAAGCGGUGGAGUAUGUGGUUCAAUUCGACGCAACGCGAAGAACCUUACCUGGGUUUGACAUCCCGAGAAUCCUGUAGAAACACAGGCGUGCCUCUUUGAGGAACUCGGUGACAGGUGCUGCAUGGCUGUCGU